rnacentral:lncRNA from 1 species
AUUUUGCUAGGAAAUACACAGCUAACCUUGCUAAUGCAUCUGUUGCGUUAUGCUGCUUGUAUUCCAUCCACUACAUUCUUGGGGAUUCGCAGAUAUUUGGACUCUUUCACCCAGUUUCAGCCUUCACAGUAGGGCACCUCUUAAAAGUCGGGCAACCCUUGAAAUUAAAAAACAGAAGAAAAAGUAAAGAUAAGUUAAUCCGAAGAAUUAUCAUCAUAAUUAUAUUCUUUUAUGCAUAACAUCAAACACAUAACAGUCUUUAAUUAACGGAAAACAAUAUAAACAGAAGGUAGGAACAUUAAAAAAAAUUGCAGUUCAAAAUAGGAAGAGAGAAUAUAGAAGCGUACCUAUGUUUUCUUUGCUCGGCUGAAUGCUGGCAAAACUCGGAAACAAAAGUAUAUAUAAGACUGGCAAU